UUUUUCUACUUUAUCUAUAUAUAGGAGGAAGGAAAGUUUAUAAGGGAAAAGAUAUGACAUCAGAUUUGACCUAAUUUAUUCCAAUUUGGUGCUCCCCUGUUAUCUAUUGCUGGAAACAAAUAGCGGCUAGGGUUGUCUCUCUUGUUCCAUUCCCAAGCUUUCUUCUGUUUUGCCAAAUCCUUUCACCCUGACUCCCCUUUGCAUCAUGUUCACAAUCUUCUCCACGCUACUUCUGUUUUCGUUUCCAAGCAGAUGGAGAUCGAGGGAAUAAUUAGCCCUGAAUUUGUCAUUCUUUAAGCGUCACUUGUCGUGAAGGUUGAGUGCUUCAUUGAUCUAAUUCAGAUAAAUCACGUUAGGAUUUAUCAAUUAUAGUUCAAGAAAGCGUUCAAAUUCACGGUAAGUGAUUACAGAAGAAUAUGUCAAUCGAAUUACUUACGCCUCUAUCAUAAAAGUUGUCAACAAAGCCAGAUCAUACUGUAUUCAAAGAAGCUAUUGGUUUUGUAAAUGCAAUGAUAUUGAAUCGUCUCGGACCGACAAGGUGCCGGCAGGGGAUUUAAUGUCGGAUCUCGUGUGAAUACCAUAUCGAUAGCCGGAAUGUGAUCGAUCCGGCUUCAGAAGAACCUUAAUCAAAAUAAAGGUUAAUCUUAAUUUGGGAUUGGCCUUCACUGAUUCAUCCGUACAGCAACUAUCCCUAUAUAGACAGGAGAGGAAGAAAGGGAACAAGGGUUAACUUUUCUGAUAGGACUUAUACUUUUGAAUCUCUUUGGUAGAUUUGGCUGAUUUAUCAUGUUUCAAUUAUGUCAAACAUAUUUCUAAACUUUAAAUUUUAGAAAUUGUUCCGAUUUGAGUGAUUUAGUUUACUUGAUUAUAAAUAUUGUAAUAAUUUAAUUUGAUUAUUUCUUUAGUUAUGUUGAUUCUAUUUCAUGAAUAUUUGAGAAGCCACUUACAGAGGUCUGUGAUGAGACUCUGGAUAAGUUUACAAAAGUUGCUUCCUUGCAUAGAUUCAUGAUUUUGAUCUAACUUUCUAAUGUUUCUCCCUUUACAAAAGAGAGAAUGAAUUGUUGUACAGAAACCCUUCAAAUUUUAUUUUGGCGUAGAAGUUACUGUAGAACUAUGUUGUAUUUAUGUAUAAUUCUUUUACACCUGCAAGAAAUCAUGUCAUUAUAUAUUUGUGUAAUAGUACUUAUUAUUGCAUCAUAAUGUAUUUUGAAC
rnacentral:sRNA from 1 species